GGGAGGCAGGUGCGUCGCCGGAGGGACUGGGAAGGUGAGGACCGCCCGGGAGGAUGCCGUGGCCGAGGUGACAGGCGCCGGCGGAAGAGAGGGAGGAGGAGGAAAGGGGCCGAGGAGGGCAGGCGGUGGCGGUGGAGAUGGCGGACGCGAGGGAGAUGGGCAUGAGGCAGAGGCCCUUCCCCUGGAGGUACUGCAUCGCCGACCCCAUGUCCUCCUCCAUCAGCUUUGCCACUUGGUGCUCCGUCACCGUCAGGGUGUCGCCGCUGCUGUUUGCUCCGCCACUUCCCGCCCCGCUCUGUCCCUGUUCAAUUCUCCCACC
rnacentral:lncRNA from 1 species